AGCGUCUAUACAAAUCUGAAUACACCGGUUUUCGUCCGAUCACCGAAGUUAAACAGCGUCGUGCCCAGUCAGUACUUGUAUGGGUGACCACCAGAGAACACCGCGUG